GGAUGAUUGAAUUGAGGGUGGCUGAUGUUGCUGUGGAUGAAUGGAGUGAACAGGCUUCUUUCACUGCAGAUUUACAACGAGCAUUUCGAGACGAUGGAUGGAGGGGCAUUGUGCCGGGGUUUCCUUCAGUUCUUCUGCGAUGUACCUCCAAGCUUGCCAAUGCGGUUGCUGCUGGUAGCAUUUUGGCCAACAAACAGGUUAGAAAGAAGCUUGUAAAGCAUUGGCUUCCGGUUCUGCUUGUCAGCAAAGAUCAUUCACCCUUGCUUGCCAGCAACAAGAACCUGUGUAUGGAGCUGGAGGAAACAUUCCUGAGAAUCAUUUCCACACUUCCCUUGUCAGAUGCACAGGAGUUGUUGCAGCAGUGCCUUAGCUUCACCCGAAAUGUUGACGAUUGCCCUCACCUCUUCAAAGCGUUCAACACCUGGUUCCGACGUGCAACUCAUCUGCCGCAGCCAGAGAAACUUUGAUGAAAAAAGGAACCGUGAGUUGUGAUUUCCUACCCUUCAGUAUUGUACAUAUAGGAAGUGGUAACUUAAAGUUUGUAUAUAAACUCAGAAAGAUUUCCUUUUUCUACAAGAAAUGGUCCAUGGA
rnacentral:misc_RNA from 1 species